UUAAGGGCGCACGGUGGAUGCCUUGGCACUAGAAGCCGAUGAAGGACGUUACUAACGACGAUAUGCUUUGGGGAGCUGUAAGUAAGCUUUGAUCCAGAGAUUUCCGAAUGGGGAAACCCAGCAUGAGUUAUGUCAUGUUAUCGAUAUGUGAAUACAUAGCAUAUCAGAAGGCACACCCGGAGAACUGAAACAUCUUAGUACCCGGAGGAAGAGAAAGAAAAUUCGAUUCCCUUAGUAGCGGCGAGCGAAACGGGAAGAGCCCAAACCAACAAGCUUGCUUGUUGGGGUUGUAGGACACUCUAUACGGAGUUACAAAGGACGACAUUAGACGAAUCAUCUGGAAAGAUGAAUCAAAGAAGGUAAUAAUCCUGUAGUCGAAAAUGUUGUCUCUCUUGAGUGGAUCCUGAGUACGACGGAGCACGUGAAAUUCCGUCGGAAUCUGGGAGGACCAUCUCCUAAGGCUAAAUACUCUCUAGUGACCGAUAGUGAACCAGUACCGUGAGGGAAAGGUGAAAAGCACCCCGGAAGGGGAGUGAAAUAGAACCUGAAACCGUGUGCUUACAAGUAGUCAGAGCCCGUUAAUGGGUGAUGGCGUGCCUUUUGUAGAAUGAACCGGCGAGUUACGAUUUGAUGCAAGGUUAAGCAGUAAAUGUGGAGCCGUAGCGAAAGCGAGUCUGAAUAGGGCGUUUAGUAUUUGGUCGUAGACCCGAAACCAGGUGAUCUACCCUUGGUCAGGUUGAAGUUCAGGUAACACUGAAUGGAGGACCGAACCGACUUACGUUGAAAAGUGAGCGGAUGAACUGAGGGUAGCGGAGAAAUUCCAAUCGAACCUGGAGAUAGCUGGUUCUCUCCGAAAUAGCUUUAGGGCUAGCCUCAAGUGAUGAUUAUUGGAGGUAGAGCACUGUUUGGACGAGGGGCCCCUCUCGGGUUACCGAAUUCAGACAAACUCCGAAUGCCAAUUAAUUUAACUUGGGAGUCAGAACAUGGGUGAUAAGGUCCGUGUUCGAAAGGGAAACAGCCCAGACCACCAGCUAAGGUCCCAAAAUAUAUGUUAAGUGGAAAAGGAUGUGGCGUUGCCCAGACAACUAGGAUGUUGGCUUAGAAGCAGCCAUCAUUUAAAGAGUGCGUAAUAGCUCACUAGUCGAGUGACACUGCGCCGAAAAUGUACCGGGGCUAAACAUAUUACCGAAGCUGUGGAUUGUCCUUUGGACAAUGGUAGGAGAGCGUUCUAAGGGCGUUGAAGCAUGAUCGUAAGGACAUGUGGAGCGCUUAGAAGUGAGAAUGCCGGUGUGAGUAGCGAAAGACGGGUGAGAAUCCCGUCCACCGAUUGACUAAGGUUUCCAGAGGAAGGCUCGUCCGCUCUGGGUUAGUCGGGUCCUAAGCUGAGGCCGACAGGCGUAGGCGAUGGAUAACAGGUUGAUAUUCCUGUACCACCUAUAAUCGUUUUAAUCGAUGGGGGGACGCAGUAGGAUAGGCGAAGCGUGCGAUUGGAUUGCACGUCUAAGCAGUAAGGCUGAGUAUUAGGCAAAUCCGGUACUCGUUAAGGCUGAGCUGUGAUGGGGAGAAGACAUCGUGUCUUCGAGUCGUUGAUUUCACACUGCCGAGAAAAGCCUCUAGAUAGAAAAUAGGUGCCCGUACCGCAAACCGACACAGGUAGUCAAGAUGAGAAUUCUAAGGUGAGCGAGCGAACUCUCGUUAAGGAACUCGGCAAAAUGACCCCGUAACUUCGGGAGAAGGGGUGCUCUUUAGGGUUAACGCCCAGAAGAGCCGCAGUGAAUAGGCCCAAGCGACUGUUUAUCAAAAACACAGGUCUCUGCUAAACCGUAAGGUGAUGUAUAGGGGCUGACGCCUGCCCGGUGCUGGAAGGUUAAGAGGAGUGGUUAGCUUCUGCGAAGCUACGAAUCGAAGCCCCAGUAAACGGCGGCCGUAACUAUAACGGUCCUAAGGUAGCGAAAUUCCUUGUCGGGUAAGUUCCGACCCGCACGAAAGGCGUAACGAUUUGGGCACUGUCUCAACGAGAGACUCGGUGAAAUCAUAGUACCUGUGAAGAUGCAGGUUACCCGCGACAGGACGGAAAGACCCCGUGGAGCUUUACUGUAGCCUGAUAUUGAAAUUCGGCACAGCUUGUACAGGAUAGGUAGGAGCCUUUGAAACGUGAGCGCUAGCUUACGUGGAGGCGCUGGUGGGAUACUACCCUAGCUGUGUUGGCUUUCUAACCCGCACCACUUAUCGUGGUGGGAGACAGUGUCAGGCGGGCAGUUUGACUGGGGCGGUCGCCUCCUAAAAGGUAACGGAGGCGCUCAAAGGUUCCCUCAGAAUGGUUGGAAAUCAUUCAUAGAGUGUAAAGGCAUAAGGGAGCUUGACUGCGAGACCUACAAGUCGAGCAGGGUCGAAAGACGGACUUAAUGAUCCGGUGGUUCCGCAUGGAAGGGCCAUCGCUCAACGGAUAAAAGCUACCCCGGGGAUAACAGGCUUAUCUCCCCCAAGAGUUCACAUCGACGGGGAGGUUUGGCACCUCGAUGUCGGCUCAUCGCAUCCUGGGGCUGUAGUCGGUCCCAAGGGUUGGGCUGUUCGCCCAUUAAAGCGGUACGCGAGCUGGGUUCAGAACGUCGUGAGACAGUUCGGUCCCUAUCCGUCGUGGGCGUAGGAAAUUUGAGAGGAGCUGUCCUUAGUACGAGAGGACCGGGAUGGACAUACCUCUGGUGUACCAGUUGUCGUGCCAACGGCAUAGCUGGGUAGCUAUGUGUGGACGGGAUAAGUGCUGAAAGCAUCUAAGCAUGAAGCCCCCCUCAAGAUGAGAUUUCCCAACUUCGGUUAUAAGAUCCCUCAAAGAUGAUGAGGUUAAUAGGUUCGAGGUGGAAGCAUGGUGACAUGUGGAGCUGACGAAUACUAAUCGAUCGAAGACUUAAUC
rnacentral:rRNA from 1 species